GGUUAAGCGACUAAGCGUACACGGUGGAUGCCCUGGCAGUCAGAGGCGAUGAAGGACGUGCUAAUCUGCGAAAAGCGUCGGUAAGGUGAUAUGAACCGUUACAGCCGGCGAUGUCCGAAUGGGGAAACCCAGUGCAAUUCGUUGCACUAUCGUUAACUGAAUACAUAGGUUAACGAGGCGAACCGGGGGAACUGAAACAUCUAAGUACCCCGAGGAAAAGAAAUCAACCGAGAUUCCCCCAGUAGCGGCGAGCGAACGGGGAGCAGCCCAGAGUCUGAAUCAGCUUGUGUGUUAGUGGAACGGUCUGGAAAGUCCGACGGUACAGGGUGAUAGUCCCGUACACCAAAAUGCACAGGCUGUGAACUCGAAGAGUAGGGCGGGACACGUGGUAUCCUGUCUGAAUAUGGGGGGACCAUCCUCCAAGGCUAAAUACUCCUGACUGACCGAUAGUGAACCAGUACCGUGAGGGAAAGGCGAAAAGAACCCCGGCGAGGGGAGUGAAAAAGAACCUGAAACCGUGUACGUACAAGCAGUGGGAGCACCUUCGGGUGUGACUGCGUACCUUUUGUAUAAUGGGUCAGCGACUUAUAUUCUGUAGCAAGGUUAACCGUAUAGGGGAGCCGCAGGGAAACCGAGUCUUAACUGGGCGUUAAGUUGCAGGGUAUAGACCCGAAACCCGGUGAUCUAGCCAUGGGCAGGUUGAAGGUUGGGUAACACUAACUGGAGGACCGAACCGACUAAUGUUGAAAAAUUAGCGGAUGACUUGUGGCUGGGGGUGAAAGGCCAAUCAAACCGGGAGAUAGCUGGUUCUCCCCGAAAGCUAUUUAGGUAGCGCCUCGUGAAUUCAUCUUCGGGGGUAGAGCACUGUUUCGGCUAGGGGGUCAUCCCGACUUACCAACCCGAUGCAAACUACGAAUACCGAAGAAUGUUAUCACGGGAGACACACGGCGGGUGCUAACGUCCGUCGUGAAGAGGGAAACAACCCAGACCGCCAGCUAAGGUCCCAAAGUCAUGGUUAAGUGGGAAACGAUGUGGGAAGGCACAGACAGCCAGGAUGUUGGCUUAGAAGCAGCCAUCAUUUAAAGAAAGCGUAAUAGCUCACUGGUCGAGUCGGCCUGCGCGGAAGAUGUAACGGGGCUAAACCAUGCACCGAAGCUGCGGCAGCGACACUAUGUGUUGUUGGGUAGGGGAGCGUUCUGUAAGCCUGCGAAGGUG
rnacentral:rRNA from 1 species